rnacentral:rRNA from 1 species
GUGGGGAAUCUUAGACAAUGGGGGAAACCCUGAUCUAGCCAUGCCGCGUGAGCGAUGAAGGCCUUAGGGUUGUAAAGCUCUUUCAGCUGGGAAGAUAAUGACGGUACCAGCAGAAGAAGCCCCGGCUAACUCCGUGCCAGCAGCCGCGGUAAUACGGAGGGGGCUAGCGUUGUUCGGAAUUACUGGGCGUACAGCGCGCGUAGGCGGACCAGAAAGUUGGAGGUGAAAUCCCAGGGCUCAACCUUGGAACUGCCUUCAAAACUCCUGGUCUGAAGUUCGAGAGAGGUGAGUGGAAUUCCGGGUGUAGAGGUGAAAUUCGUAGAUAUUCGGAGGAACACCAGUGGCGAAGGCGGCUCACUGGCUCGAUACUGACGCUGAGGUGCGAAAGCGUGGGGAGCAAACAGGAUUAGAUACCCCGGUAGUCC